GCCUAACAACAAUAUGUUAAUGAAGUGACAACAACAUCGUAAGGCAUGAUGGGAAUGGUUUCACUCUGAAAAAAGUCGAUGUGAAAAUGGAUGUAAUACAUAAAAAAGUCAUGUUUCGAUUUGGAAAUAGCUUUUUGGAGAUAUUUACUGGAUUGCAGUGAUGAUAUACAGUAUGCUACCAACAGUGCCACACACAUUCUGAGGACCGCAAUGAGAAUGGAUGCUGAUGGCGUCAUCGUCUGGGAAGAUCACAGCGCACAAUCUUCAUCUUCUUGAGGAUGAUCCUGCUGAUGCCUCGGGGGACGGAAGAGGCGAAAUGAUGCCUGACGACGAUUUGGACCUCAGGACUGCUGACAGUCCGUCUUCCGUUGAGAGCCGGCAGUUGGAUGACUCCCCGGUAGAUGAUAGGGCAUCACCGGCAAAUCUUAGGGAGGAAGCCAAAUACCAGGAGGAACUCAAGGAGAGGGUGAAGAAGUCCUUUGCAGAUCUAGGAAUCGAACCUGAGGGUGUGUUGUUGAAGGAUAGUUUGGAUGACACUCCAAGGGAUCCUAUUGAAAUCAAGGAGGACCUUCCAUAUGGGGAGAUUCGGGAAGGCGAAUAUGACUCUAGGAGGAAAAAAGAAAUUGUUGAUAGUGAAGUGAAUGAUGAUGACGUUGAUUCUACCGAAGAACUUGAUGAUGGUCGUGAUGAUCAUGGAAAUGAGGAAGAAAAGCAUUUGGAAGCAGAGGUUCCUGUAAAUGAUGACGAUGAAGACGAGAACUUUCUUGCAGACUCUCUUGAAGCAGAGGCACCUAAUCAUCAAGGCCAAUCUGACCACAGAGCAGAAAGUGAAGACUAUACUGUGCACCAAGGUGAUGACAUUCAGCCUGGAAAUAAUGACAAUGCUCCAGAUGUGGGAGUGAGUAAUGACCCUCACUUUGAGGAUGAUGAAGAAGAAAAUGAUUUUGUAAGAGAUUCUUUGGAAACGGAUCGGGAUGAAGCAGAGCUGGACAACCUCAAUGACUCCAACCCUAUCAGUCUUGGAGAGGUAGAUCAAGAUCAGUUUGAUGGAGAUGCAUCUGAUAGCUUCCCAACACCUGUCAACCAAAAUAUUCUUGAUGAGAAAGAUCCUGGAGAACCUUCUGACCAAUUCCCAUCUUUGUCACAACCGUUGCAGCCAGAGGAUGAAGAUGAUGACGGAAUUGCGGAUCCAUUCCAUGAAGGAAGUGAUAAAGCAAAUGAUCAAAGUAAAGAGGAAACAUUUAGGGAUGAUGCGGGACCUGUUUCAGAAAGACCACCCUCAGAGCAAGAGUAUGAAACUCUUAAUAGAAAUAGGACAUUGGAUGGUAAUGAUGGUGAAUCCGAUGAUGGCAUUGGUGAAAAAAAUAAUAGUGGAUCACAGAAUGGAGUAAGGCCAUUUGUCAGUGACACAACUCCACUAGAACAUGAUUAUGGUGAUGAUGAUAAAGGACAACAAAGUCCAGCAGCUUUAAGAGGGGAUCAAUUUGGAGAGAGUUAUCCUGAUGAUGAUGGUCGGAAUUCAGAAAAGCCACCUGUACAUAGUCAUAUAGGGAAACAGGAGUCUAGAGAACAAUCGCCUGUCCUUCCAAAGCCUUCAAUUUCCAAUUCAAAUAACAAUGCUAAGGGACCUCAUGAGAGGCCCCCUUCUGGUGGGUCAGUACAUUCUGGUCAUAGUAAUUUGAAUAGCAGACGGAGCAGUAGUAGGCAGCGUGAUCCUACAGGUGUUCUUUCAAGUCCAGGGCACCGGACAACUUCCAGGAAUCGUACUCCUGUUAGAUCAAGAGAUAGUUCUAGAGAAAGGGAAUCGGUGUCAAAACAGUCACAGCGUAGCAGGACAAGACAGUCAUCAAAUGACAGAUCUCGGCAGACUUCCAGUGGAAGAUCAAGACAGGUACCUAAUGAUAGAGUGUCUCCUGCUUCACCACAAGCUCAGUCAGCUAACACGAAUGGAUCAUUAAAGUCUAGAGAUGGUUCAGGAGGUCCCAGGGACCAGUCCUCAAGAAACAAUGAGAGUAGAAAAGAGAAUGGUCGCAGAGGAUCUAAUGAUAUUAACAUUCCUAGAUAUUCACGCAAAGGUAUGAAUAAUUCAGAUAUUGAUGAUGAAAGUUCGAAGGAAGACCUCAGGAACAGUCCAAGCAGAGGGCAUGGAGCAAGAAAUGGAUCGAGUAAGUUCAGAAGAGUACCGUCUGGCUCAGAAAAGGCUCAAACAGUGGAGUCUGUCAAUGCAGGUAGCAAUGAUCCACUCUCCUUGAAACCCCCUCCAGGACCUCUGCGACAAAAUGUAUCUUCGCCAAAUGCCGCAAAGGCUGCUGGGCAAGUUGAUUCUACUGGGAAAAAACCUAGCCCAAGAGAUUUCAUGACCCCAGGGCAGCGAUUAGAGUUGGAGGAAAAUAAGCAGUUCUGGUCUGACAUGCACCAAGCUGGUGUCUUCAACCAGCCUUUGAAUCAGUCCAUUGCAAACCCUUCCACUGUUAACCCUACCUCCAAACCAAGGAAUGACCAAAUAGAGAAAGUAAAAUUAAAGAGCGGAGAAAAGGUUAGGGUGGAAUACAUAUCAGAUGACAGCGAUGAUGAAGAUCUGCACUUCGUAGAUGAGAAAGGAAGUCCUAUUGAUCAACUUGGUAGACCACUCUUUGCCCCACAAACUCCCGAAACCCCAGAUUUAAGGAUUAUGUAUAGAAUUAAGCCUUCUCCACCUCGACAGAAAUCAAACAAAAAAUCUUCAAGUGGAAAGCAGCGGACAAGGGAAGUGUCUGCAGCUGACUCUUCAAGGUAUGGUAGUGGUUACAGCACCAGGAAUGGAUCAGGACAGAAAUCUGGUAGAGAAGGAUCCAGGAUCCCUGUAAGACAGUUGGUAGAUAGACACGUUUCUCCCAUUGAGGAUGAGAUUGAAAUUUCUCCAGUUGAAACCCAGCAGGAGGGAAACUUAGAUUCCACUCUCCCACCAGUGACACAAGUUGAGUCUCCUAGAGAAAGGCCUGUGAAAUCUGCUUGCCUCCAAACAGGUUUAGAUGAUCUACCAACACCUGAAGAUGUUGAAGGAUCCGAGUUAAAGAGUCCUGUUCAGGAAGUUUCUAUUCAGACGUCAGAUGAGCACAUUACAGGGAAUAAUUACAACACACUGCCAUACCAAAGCCCGCUUCAGUCCCCAAGGCAUACAGGAGAAACAAGACCAUUUGGACAAGUGAGGGUUGCUCCGUUUCAACAGCAGGGUCCAGAGCAUCAACCUCCUCCUGGAUAUAAUCAGCAGGGUCAAAUGCCAUUUCCUGCAGGUGCAUAUGCUCAGCCAAUUCCAGGAAACUACCAGGGUAGUCCACAGGCACAUUGGCAACCUGUCAUGGUACAACCUGGCUACCCAAGCCAAGGCCAACAGUUUGCAGCCCCUCUUCAGCCACAGUUUGUAGAUCCAUUGAUGAAUCCUGGAAUGAACCAGCAAAUACCUCAACAGAUGAUGCCAAAUUACCCUGGCCAACAGCAUCACCCACAAUACCACCCACAAAUGCAGGAUCCCAUGCAACAAGGUCCGUUUCAACAACAAAUGCCUCAGCACCCGCAUUCUGGACUGCAAUACCAAUAUCAACCAAAUCCACAAGGUCCAUUUGCUAGUCCGGGUAGGCCAAUUCCGGUACAAGACAUGGAAGACCCUUACCCACAUGAGCGAGAUACAUCUGGGCAAUCAGACAGGAAACAACCAGGUCCCAUAAGGCAACAGCCCAAACCUAAACACAACUUCAUUGACAUCAAUAAAACAUCAGCCAAAUUGAGACGGGAUCCUCCAAAUAAAAAGUACACUGAGGGUUUCCAGCAGAAGAAGGGUUUAAGGUCACCAAUAAACCCUAGGCAACCUCUGCCACAGAUCUCCAGGGAAAGCUCCCUGGAUGAUGGCCAGGAGUCCUCAACUGGGUGGACACCACAUGGUAGUGCAACCAGCCGAUCAAAUGACCAAUGGGCACAGGCAGUUAUUCGCGAACAGCAGAUGAUCAUGUUAGCUCGAGGUAUGUCCGAUCCAAACAUCUAUCCCCAAGGACAAGGGCCUCCACCACCCAUGCGGAAUGGGUCCCUACCUGGUAACUAUGGAGGUGGAAACACAUACCAAGGUGGCUAUCCCACUCCUGACACCAAUCUUAACCAGGUUAACGGUCAACCCUACAGCUGGUCUGCAGACCGUGCAAACGCCUAUGCAAGAAUGAAUGCCAUGCAGAAUGCAAAUCAACCUGGGGUGGGAGGUCCGUUUUCUGUGGAUCCUCGAGGAAGCUAUGAGGCCACCCAGACAAGUCCAAGACAAAGGAUGGCCUACACCCAUCCUAUGCCAUCCAGGACAAGUCCUUUCCAAGUGCUUCCUGACAUACAGAACUCUGGGAGAACAAGUGGAGAAGACAAGGAAUUGAGGACCAGUGACCCCGAUGGCUACCUACUGAAGCUCCAGAAGCAGAAGCAAGGGCCUCAGUACAAACCGUACACCCUCAAAGACUUCCAGAAUCUAAAGAAGGAUUUCAAGUUUGGAGGUCUGGGGCCGGACAAGGAAACUAUGAAUAUCAGGAAUGAGAAAGUGGCCCGUCAGCGGGAUUACGCCCGUCAGGUGAUGGAACAGAACAAAAAGAUAAUAAGGGCCUCGCCUCAGGCCAGUCAUACCCCAGGGAAGGAUAGCCCACAGACAGAGGCAUCAAAGAGAGAACUGAACAACUCAUUUCCAUAUGGGUCAUUUAGAUGACAAAGCCGCAAGAUUUUGACAAGUUUUUAGACGUGUACUGGCCCUGGAGUACGCAAAACACAUCCCGAAGCCUCCUGCACCAACACCGCCGGAGGUGCUCCAUGACAGACUCUACGGCAGCGGGGCCAACUCCAGGAACAGCGAGAGUGGGUCCAGGUCCUCUAGCGUGAGGGAAGAGGCCUUCAGCACCCACGAGGAGAACACCGCCGUAGAGAUGGCACGGCUUCAGGAACUCACAGAGAGGCACCAACAAGAGAAGAAUGAACUUGAUAGAUUGAGGAAAGGACUCUCAACGUGACGUGGGAAGAGUCAGGAAAUGUCCCGGACCAUCCCUUUAAAUAAAGAUACAUGUAGACCUAUAUGUAGUAGUUUUAGAAUGAACUAUGUAGGCCUAAAAGCAGUAUGCAUGGGAACAAAAGAUUCCAGCCCCUGGUCCCCCCUACCUUUGGGGACAGAUUUCCGCCCAUGCUCUUGGCGUUUGAGUCUUGCAAGGUUUUCUAUAUGUUGUAUGUGUAUCACCCAGUUCAUGAACCGUCCGUGCGUUGUACUUGCCUUAUUUACAGGUCUAAAGUGUCUUAAUCUGGUCUGAAAUAUUGUCAUUGUUGUGUUCAAGAAUUCAUUGUUAGCUUAUGCAGAGUCCCCAAUUGAAUUGCUGUCUGUGUGAUUGUGCCAUUGGAAAAUAUGACAGUUGUUUUUAGGCAUGUUAGGGGUAUGUAUUAUUAUGUAUAUGUAGGAUGUAAAAGCAGCUGUUAUUCAUCACUUUCAACCUAAAGAAAUUAAUUCAUUUGUUUCUCUUUGACAGAGAUCUAGAGAUUGUAAUUUGUUCAAACUGAACGGAGAUACAAAUCUGUUUACCGGCAGUUUACCGGUUUACUGUGUAUUAAUCGUUGAGAUUGUACAUUACUAUGUUAAUAUGUGACCUGCCACCCCAAAACCAACAACAAGUCAACCAAAAUGAAUAUUGAGAUUUUUAUUGAGCUUGAAAAUUCACUUCGUAAGCUUUAAAAUGAUAAAUAAUAUGUUAAAAUUGACCAGUACAAGUUCUUGAUUGAAUGCAGAGGAAAUUCAGCAAGAGCUUAAAGAAUAAGGAGAAAACAAGGUUUAAAGUUUCGGGUUCACUCAGGCAUGAGAUGUGCAUACUGGGUAGUCUCAGUGAAACUUCCAAGCAGUCUGAAAAAGUAGUGUCCAAGAAACUCUUGUAUCUUUUCUUUUAUUCAACUUCACAACUUCAAAUUUUCACCGUAUGAAGAAGAAGAAUUACUCUUUCAGAUAAGCUAUUUUUUUUAAUUUGGGUUUUUGGAGACUAAAUUACUAUUUUGGCUAUUUACAGAUAACCUUACCUGGCGACUUAUUGGUGGUAGGUCAAAUAUUAGCACUUAGGCAUGAUCAGUCUCAGCUCUUUGUGAAAUGUCCCUCGGUUUGAUCUCUAAACAUUUUAUAUAUGAAUCAUCUUGAUAAUUUAAUGAUCUUAUACACCUUGAAUAUUUUGUACUUCCACUGAUGAUCUCAUUCUUGUGUCCAUCUCCAGGGGGAUGUUUCACAAAGAUUUAAGUAUGACUUAGAGUCGCACUUAAAGUCCCAGUUGCCUAGGGUAUAGAAGACAUCACCACAUUGGUCAGAUCAUGCGCACAGGACGCACACUACCUCGUAUCCAUCAAUCAGAUUGCAUGUUGCAUAUCAUGUACGCGUCGGCAUUUAAGUGCGACUUAUUAAGUUACUUAUAAAGUCAUACUUAAAUCUUUGUGAAACACCCCCUGGUCUUAAUCUUAUAAAGAAAGAACUAGGUCAAUCCAUUGGUGUUUCUUAAAGCUUUUUGUAAGUUCUGCAUAUCUUUACUAAGAUGAUGAUGAUUUGCAGCAUUUAUGUGACGACUUAUUCAUUUUAGAAUUAUUGAAAGGUACAGAAUUAUUAUUAAUCAUUAUUUUGAGGUCUUACUGGGAUGAUGAUGACUUGCAACAUUUAUAUGAUGGCAUAUUCCUUUAACAAUGUUGACAACUACAGAUUUAUUAUUAUUUUGAGGGCCACUGUGUAAAGACAAUGGAAUAGAACACAUGUGCAUUUUUCAAAAGUUCAAAUGGAAAAGUUUUCAAAGUAUCAAUGUGGGUUGAAAAAACCCACUUAACGUUGCCACCAAAUAAUUUUUUUGUAAGUUAUGCAUAUCUCAAUGACAAGGAUGAUUUCUUAUUCCUUUUCAAACGAUUUAAAGGGACAGAUUUAUUAUUUAUUAUUAUUUUGAGGUCCAUUGUAUAAGACCGUGGAAUAGGAUGCAUGUGCAUUUAAAAAAAAGUACAAAUUAAACAGUUUUGCACUAAAUGUUUCCAUCUCCCCAGUAAUACUCACCUAUCAAACAUGCCUUUAUUUCUUACAGUAAUACACCUGAAAGUUUCUGUUUCUGUUUAUGGUAACUCUCGCAGGAACUCGGCAGGACAGCAUCCUGCUGAUAAACGCCAAGCUGGUAUAUAACCAAUUACCUAGGAAACAUUUUACGUCUAGGUUACUCAGCCUUAGUGGCUGACCUUAUAGACGACAGAUAUUACUCUCGGGCCUUUUUCUCAAAGUGGAGACAAUGGCAGAGUGGGAUUUGAACUCACAACCUUCCGAUUAUGAGUCAAAUGCUCUAACCACUGGACCACACGACCCGUCACUUUGCUCUAGCUCUAAAGCUGUAAACAUUUUUUUUUCUUGAAUGUAAAAUGUUUUUUCAGUGUGCAUGUACAUUUUUGCAAAGAAAUUAUGUCAAUUCAUAUUACAUUGCCUGUACUAUAUAUGGUUUAUGUACAUGUAAUACUUUAUAGUUGUAUAGUUUUAAUGAAGAUGUCAUUUUUUAAAUUUGUAUAGCAGAAUGUGUGCCACAAUAAAAUGUAAAUACAUAUAUUUAAUGAAUAUUGUGUUGCUGAACAAUUAAAGGUGAUAUGUUAUAUGCAAGAUAAAACAAA